rnacentral:rRNA from 1 species
UACGGAGGGUGCGAGCGUUGUCCGGAAUCAUUGGGCGUAAAGAGCGCGUAGGUGGAUCAAUUAGUCUGCUGUGAAAGUCAAAGGCUCAACCUUUGAAAGCCGGUGGAUACUGUUGAUCUAGAGUACGGAAGAGGCGAGUGGAAUACCUGGUGUAGCGGUGAAAUGCUUAGAUAUCAGGUGGAACACCAGUGGCGAAGGCGGUGUUCUGG